rnacentral:rRNA from 1 species
AUUGAACGCUGGCGGCAUGCCUUACACAUGCAAGUCGAACGGCAGCACGGGGCAACCUGGUGGCGAGUGGCGAACGGGUGAGUAAUGCAUCGGAACGUACCUUUCAGUGGGGGAUAACGUAGCGAAAGUUACGCUAAUACCGCAUAUUCUGUGAGCAGGAAAGCAGGGGAUCGCAAGACCUUGCGCUGAUUGAGCGGCCGAUAUCAGAUUAGCUAGUUGGUGAGGUAAAGGCUAACCAAGGCGACGAUCUGUAGCGGGUCUGAGAGGAUGACCCGCCACACUGGAACUGAGACACGGUCCAGACUCCUACGGGAGGCAGCAGUGGGGAAUUUUGGACAAUGGGGGCAACCCUGAUCCAGCCAUGCCGCGUGAGUGAAGAAGGCCUUCGGGUUGCAAAGCUCUUUCGGCCGGGAAGAAAUCGCACGGGCUAAUACCCUGUGUGGAUGACGGUACCGGAAUAAGAAGCACCGGCUAACUACGUGCCAGCAGCCGCCGUAACAC